GAUGAACGCUGACAGAAUGCUUAACACAUGCAAGUCUUUGGCGAAGCUGUGCUCGCACAGCCUAGCCAAGGCGGACGGGUGAGUAACGCGUAAGGAACUUGCCCUGCAGUCAGGGAUAACAGACGGAAACGACUGAUAAGACCUGGUAAAGUCAGGCGGACUCAUGUCCAGCCUGAUGAAAAGAGAUGCUGCAGGAGAGCCUUGCGUCCUAUUAGCUUGUUGGUGGGGUAACGGCCCACCAAGGCGAUGAUAGGUAGCCGGCCUGAGAGGGUGGACGGCCACAAGGGGACUGAGAUACGGCCCUUACUCCUACGGGAGGCAGCAGUGGGGAAUAUUGGACAAUGGGGGCAACCCUGAUCCAGCAAUUCUGUGUGCACGAUGAAGGUUUUCGGAUUGUAAAGUGCUUUCAGCAGGGAAGAAAAAAAUGACGGUACCUGCAGAAGAAGCGACGGCUAAAUACGUGCCAGCAGCCGCGGUAAUACGUAUGUCGCAAGCGUUAUCCGGAAUUAUUGGGCAUAAAGGGCAUCUAGGCGGCCAGAUAAGUCUGGGGUGAAAACUUGCGGCUCAACCGCAAGCCUGCCCUGGAAACUAUGCGGCUAGAGUACUGGAGAGGUGGACGGAACUGCACGAGUAGAGGUGAAAUUCGUAGAUAUGUGCAGGAAUGCCGAUGAUGAAGAUAGUUCACUGGACGGUAACUGACGCUGAAGUGCGAAAGCUAGGGGAGCAAACAGG
rnacentral:rRNA from 1 species